GAUGAACGCUGACAGAAUGCUUAACACAUGCAAGUCAACUUGAACUUCGGUUUGGGUGGCGGACGGGUGAGUAACGCGUAAAGAACUUGCCUCACAGAUAGGGACAACAUUUGGAAACGAAUGCUAAUACCUGAUAUUAUGAUUUUAGGGCAUCCUAGGAUUAUGAAAGCUAUAUGCGCCGUGAGAGAGCUUUGCGUCCCAUUAGCUAGUUGGAGAGGUAACGGCUCACCAAGGCGAUGAUGGGUAGCCGGCCUGAGAGGGUGAUCGGCCACAAGGGGACUGAGACACGGCCCUUACUCCUACGGGAGGCAGCAGUGGGGAAUAUUGGACAAUGGACCAAGAGUCUGAUCCAGCAAUUCUGUGUGCACGAUGAAGUUUUUCGGAAUGUAAAGUGCUUUCAGUUGGGAAGAAAAAAAUGACGGUACCAACAGAAGAAGUGACGGCUAAAUACGUG
rnacentral:rRNA from 1 species